rnacentral:rRNA from 1 species
GACGAACGCUGGCGGCGUGCCUAACACAUGCAAGUCAAAGGAAAGCGACUUCGGUCGCAAGUACUUGGCGCAAGGGUGAGUAAGGUAUAGGUAAUCUGCCCUUUGGACUGGGAUAACCUCGAGAAAUCGAGGACAAUACCAGAUGAUGCAGCGGGACCGCAUGGUCAUGUUGUUAAAGAUUUAUCGCCAAAGGAUGAGCCUAUAUUCCAUCAGGUAGUUGGUAGGUAACGGCCUACCAAGCCUACGACGGAUAGGGGGCCUGAGAGGGUGGCCCCCCA